ACCAAUAUGGUCUAAUGGUUAUGACAUUGCUCUCUCAAGGCAAAAGUCUGGGUUCGAUUCCCAGUAUUGGUA
rnacentral:tRNA from 1 species